rnacentral:rRNA from 1 species
GAUUAGAUACCCUAUUAUAUUUAAACAAAUUGGGUAGUAUUAUUAAUAAAAACCUUUAUACUUUGGCGGCAUUUUAUCUUAUUAGAGGAAUAUGUUCAUUAAUCGAAACCACACGAUAGUUUUUACUUACUAUAAAAUUUUAUAUACCCCCGUCUAAAGAAUUUAUUUAAAAUUUUUAUUCCAAAUUAUAUUAAAAAAAGUUAGGUAAAGGUGUAGACUAUUAGUAAGAUUAAAUGUAUUACAUUAAAAAAAAUUUAAGGAUAAAACAGUUAACUGUUUAUUAAAAGAGGAUUUAUAAGUAAUUUACUUUUAAUAAAAAUUAAUGAAUAAGAAAAUAAAUGUGCACAUAUCGCCCGUCACUCU